rnacentral:rRNA from 1 species
ACACUCCUGCGGGAGGCAGCAGUGGGGAAUAUUGGACAAUGGGCGCAAGCCUGAUCCAGCCAUGCCGCGUGAGUGAUGAAGGCCCUAGGGUUGUAAAGCUCUUUCACCGGAGAAGAUAAUGACGGUAUCCGGAGAAGAAGCCCCGGCUAACUUCGUGCCAGCAGCCGCGGUAAUACGAAGGGGGCUAGCGUUGUUCGGAACUACUGGGCGUAAAGCGCACGUAGGCGGAUCGAUCAGUCAGGGGUGAAAUCCCAGGGCUCAACCCUGGAACUGCCUUUGAUACUGUCGAUCUGGAGUAUGGAAGAGGUGAGUGGAAUUCCGAGUGUAGAGGUGAAAUUCGUAGAUAUUCGGAGGAACACCAGUGGCGAAGGCGGCUCACUGGUCCAUUACUGACGCUGAGGUGCGAAAGCGUGGGGAGCAAACAGGAUUAGAAACCCCUGUAGUCCCAUGA